rnacentral:lncRNA from 1 species
ACCUUUUCCAAGUCUAGUGGUGAGGUUCGGUUUAUACCAUGUAUUUUAGGAUUGAGUAGUGGUAGGACCAGUCAGGCCCUUUAAAAUGUAGGCACUUACCGAGUAACAAAAUAGUUUUAAAAAUGUAUAUUAAAGUACGGAGUAUAGCUAAAGAGGUGGCAAGUCCCGUUAGCGCAUAAAAUGGCGGAGUCAUCGCCCGGUUGACGAGUACUGCGUAGAUCCUCUUAUUUUUGAUUGUAUAAAGCAGGGGAAGACGUUUUUUAAGGAUAAGAUGUAAGACCCCGUAAGGUUCCGUCGUUUCCAACAUGGCCGCCUGUCCCAUCUACAAAACUAUAGACACAUAGUUUCAUCAAUUUACCGACUCGUUAACGUGGACGACGCAGGAUGGACCCUAGAUAUUCACCAGUAUUAAUAACACCUUCGUAAUUUAGAACAAAAAUAAUUAAAAUUCAAGAUGUUUUAUUAUUAUGUUGGCGGCGUCAGGCAGGCUUAUUAUCAGCGGAUCUUAGGCAGCGAUGUUAGUUACAAAAGUCUAUGAACAAUACUUGGCAGCAGUAAACACAUGAGGCGAAUAUGAGAUUUAUCUAUCUAGAUAAACUAGGUAUAACUUUAUAUAUAUUCACUAGCUAUAUAUCUUUGUAAUUCAAAUGUUUCUCAAACUGAUAAUUAUGUAAUAGGACAAAUAAGUCGUUCAAUGUUUAAAUUUACCAUAAAAUGAAAAUGAUUGCGUUGUUUAUGUUAGUGCGGGGUCAGAAAAUAUUUAUAAACAUGGUUUAUUCACAUAGUUUAUUUGUAUUUCAUUCUCAUCAUUAAGUUUUAGUACAUGAAUUAGAGAUGUAAGACAGAACGGAGUUCCAACAAUGUAAUGUAGACCUUAUGGAGUGGAGAUAGGUAUGAAAAUGAGCACAUUAAACCGGGCGAUGACUUAGGUUAUUUUAUUAAUAGGAAUAAUGUUAUAAUUAUUAUCACAUUCAGUGUUUGACGACUUACAAUAUUUGCUAGUAUAUAAUUGAGUAACUAAGUUAGAUUACAGCAUAGAUGAUAUGUAUCCUUAGCGGCUGAGCUGCAGCCUGGUAACGUAAGGUUUAGUGGAAGUAUGAUAGAAGUAAGUGGUAGCAGGCGUAUGGUAUAAUGCUAGUGUUAGCUGUAGGCUAGGGUAGGUAGGAUGGUAGCCCCUGGUCUUUAGGGAUUCAACAGGCCGUAGAUUCAGGACGUCCGUAUUUAGACUCCACAAAACGAAUCUGGAAGAAGCCUAAUUUGUUGGCAGGCUUAGUAUAAAUCUCCUAAACUAUCAGGCGAGGCUUUUCCUAGCUACACUUACGAUAGGUUAAACGUUAGAUAAGGUCUAAUUGAUAUUGUUAUUGAUAACGUUAGAAGUAACUUUUGAGUAAUAUUUAGACGUAGUAUUAUGGCUGCUAUUCAAAUGUUUUCUUUGCAAGUGUUAGGUUAAGUAAUAUUACAACAGCGUAGAUAUUAGGAACGUUAGAUAUAGUGAAGUCAUUCGCUUCGGAUUAUGCCCUUGAUUGCAAUUUUCUACCGAUGAACACCUUAGAGGAACUCAAUUAAAAAAUCUUGAAUUCAUAUACUUUAUCAAUAAUUUGUGUACAUUUUGAUAAAAUCUAACAGUUUUGUAUUUACAAAAAAAAAAACUAUCAUUAUUCAAAAACCAUUUGUCGUUAAUUAUGUCUCCCGAGCAAACUUCAAUUCAAUAAUUUGUUUCAAUAAAAUGUUAAUUUAAAAACAGUAAUUUUACUAUUUUGAAAAGUAACUUCAUUGACGUCUGUAAAUCGUUGUAAACUUGAUUAAUAAAUCAUUAGUAAUCAAAGUAUUCAUUUUGUUUCUCUUUGUGUAAAUACUUGAUAUUUUCCCAAGACUUUGAUUAACUUUUAACUGAAUUACAUACUAACUGCUUUUAACUAGAAAUAAUUCUUACACUGACUCUCUUUUUGCAAAAAUUAGAAACUUGCAUUUUUAUUGUUAUUUAUGAAUUUACUAAAUAUUAAUUAUAUUUGAAUUAUUCAAAUAUUUAUUGAGAUGUUAGUAUAUUUAUUUGACACUAAAUAUGUUUAUUCUAUUGUAGGUUUAUUUACAAAGUUACAUCUUUAAAUUGAAUGACAUUACUUAUUUGUUUUCGACUGGACUUGAUAUUAUUUCAUAGUGACAAUGCAUAGCAAACGAUAAGACACAUACCUAAAUUAGAAAAGACCGAAUAUUCACGAAAUAAAAACGUUAUUCGCUAGAAAAUAAGUAAACGUUUCGAUACAAUUUUAAAUAAGAAAUCGAGCGUCACAGAAACAAAUAAACAUUUAGUUUAAGUAAAAGACUUAUAUUACUUACAUUUUCUCGUAUUGGAUGAAUGUACUACCGUGCUAUAAAUAUAUUCUAUUUAUAUUAGGUAGGUAUAGGUAGGUAGGCAGUGACUGAAAAGUCUAAAAUUUUGGCCUAGACCAUAAAAGGCAGGGUCUUUUCUUCUGAAAUAUCUUACAAACUUUCGACUAAGUAUACCUCUUAGGGACUUUUUCGACUAAAUGCCAACGUUAUUUUUUUCCAAAACGGGGGAUUUUUUAAAAUAUUUUUACUAAUAAGUUUGUAUGGGGAUUUUCUUGUUUUUAUUUACUGUUUAAUUUAAAUGCUGCUGUAAUUUCCAGUUACAUAAAAUAUAUAAGGUUCUGGGGCAAGUGUGUGACAUUAAUUACCAUUUAUUAAUUGACCAUUUUGGGAUUUAAUUAAAUGCUAUAGGGGUUGCAUAUUUUCUUAGUCUGACUCAACUGACUGACAUAAUUUUAGUGGACAUUUCCUCUUUUUUGUGGACUUCCUUUUAAUUCUAAAAUUGUUUUUAAAUAUUUUUUUGGGAGCUUAUGUAGUGUGAGACUAAACCUACGGACUGACCUUAAUAUCCUAGAACAUUCCUCUUUUUUUCGACAUAAGUAGCUUUUUUUUAUUUGAUGAGUAACAUGUCUUCUACAUGUAUGUUUUUAGGUCCCCAAUAGGUCCCUGACAUAGGUAAUGAUCACCACGACAGCGUGGUUUUUUGUAUUUUUACCAAAAGAACAAUAAUCUACUGAGUUUCUUGCCGGUUCUUCUCAGUCGAUUGUAGGUUCCGAACCGGUGGUAGUAUGUUAGGAAAAACAAAAUAAAAGGUAAAAGAAAGAACCUGAAUACUGUGAAAUGAAAUUGAAAUGAAUAAAUAAAUGAAUUUUUAUUACCCUA